rnacentral:rRNA from 1 species
GAUGAACGCUGGCGGCGUGCUUAACACAUGCAAGUCGAGCGAGUGAGUUCUUCGGAACGAUCUAGCGGCGGACGGGUGAGUAACACGUGGGCAACCUGCCUCAUAGAGGGGAAUAGCCUCCCGAAAGGGAGAUUAAUACCGCAUAACAUCGUUGAAGGGCAUCCUUCGAUGAUCAAAGGAGCAAUCCGCUAUGAGAUGGGCCCGCGGCGCAUUAGCUAGUUGGUGAGGUAACGGCUCACCAAGGCGACGAUGCGUAGCCGACCUGAGAGGGUGAUCGGCCACAUUGGGACUGAGACACGGCCCAGACUCCUACGGGAGGCAGCAGUGGGGAAUAUUGCACAAUGGGGGAAACCCUGAUGCAGCAACGCCGCGUGAGUGAUGACGGCCUUCGGGUUGUAAAGCUCUGUCUUUGGGGACGAUAAUGACGGUACCCAAGGAGGAAGUCACGGCUAACUACGUGCCAGCCGCCGCAGUAAAAC